rnacentral:rRNA from 1 species
AAUGAGACUGCCGGUGACAAACCGGGAGGAAGGUGGGGAUGACGUCAAGUCCUCACUGGCCCUUAUGGGUAGGGCUUCACACGUAAUACAAUGGUCGGUACAGAGGUUGCCAACCCGCGAGGGGGAGCCAAUACCCAGAAAACCGAUCGUAGUCCGGAUUGCAGUCUGCAACUCGACUGCAUGAAGUCGGAAUCGCUAGUAAUCGCGGAUCAGCAUGUCGCGGUGAAUACGUUCCCGGGCCUU